UUAGAGAAAUUUUCAGAGUGGCGAUGGUGGCGUUAGGGUCAUUUCCCUUUCAGUUCGCCUAUUCUUUAAUUUCCUGGAUUGCGAUAAGACAAGAGAAGUAGAAAAGAAAAGUAAAGUAAGGAAGUGUUUGGCCGGUCAAUGGUGUGAAGUGCAGAGGGAGAGGGAGAGGGAGAGGGAGAGGAACAGAGGGAGAAGGGAGAGCUGAAGACAGAGGGAAUGAGAAACUAAAUAACAAAGUCUUACGUAAAAAUGAAGGCUAUGGCAUAAAGACGAUAAUGCUAAUUGCUAAGGAAGAC
rnacentral:lncRNA from 1 species